rnacentral:ribozyme from 1 species
UUUUUUUUUUUUUUUUUUUUUUUUUUUUUUUUUUUUUUUUUUUUUCCAA